GUAACUGCCUUUGGGGGCCGCUUCUACAUCCUUUUGACCGCUUGUGAGAUUUCAUUAAAUCCCCAGGCCUUCCGCGUUUGCGACCAAAAAUCCGCUUCUACGGAUCUCACUGUUCUGCUUUUGAGGCCUCGAUUCCGCUUCUACGGACCCGCUGAAGUAGUUCACCGUUCGCUUUUGCGGAAACCCUCUGGUCCCUCAUGGAGCAUUUAUGCGAUCGCUAAGCUGCAUCUGUGGAACCGCUUCUGCAGAUGCAGAAAUACCAGAGGCCAGGUGCUCCAGACCUGCAACAAUAUUCAAAAUUCUUGGUUAGCCAUUCAAAAUCACCCUGAGGCCCUCAUGGCCUCUACCAGAAGCACAGAUACGUUCCAUUACUUCAUUCGAACUUGCUUGUAGCAUGAAAACACUAUCAUAGACAUCAAAAUAAUCAAAUUACCACGGAUUCAAGCCCAAGUUAAACUAAAACUUCCGAAAAAAACCCCACCUAAACACCUCCGAAUGAACUGAAACUUUGCAUGCAUAUCCAAAAUUACCUAAUGGAGCUACUGCAACUCUCGGAAUUUCAUUUCAACCCUCGGAUCAAAAUCUCACCUAUCAACCGAAAUUCGCCAAAAUUCAAACUUAGCCAUUUCAAGCCUAAUUCUAUACCGAACCUCCAAAUUCAAUUCUGAUUGCGCUCCUAAGUCAAUAAUAAUCACCCGAAAUUUUUCGAAUCAUCAAAAAUACAUUUUGAGCACUCUAAUGCAUAAGUCAAUAUUCAGUUGACUUUUCCCAACCGACCUUCUUAUAAAAAGACUUAUUGUCUCAUUUCUAACCAAACUCUAUCUGAAUUACUUUAAAUUGUCAAAUAUAAUGAAACAUAUAGAAGCAUAAAACGGGGAAAACAGGGUGAUAACUCAUGUGACAAUGGAUUGGGUCAUUACAGAUUAUGAUUGAUAAUGGUGGUGGUGGGAGGUAAUAGUUAAAUCUAGUGGGUAGUGGUGGUGAUCGUGGUUAUGAUUGAGAAAGGUGAUGGUGAGUAGUGUUAGUUUAUUGUGUGGGCAGUGCCGACUAUGAGUAUUGAUGGUGAUAGGGUGGUUGGUUUUGGUAGUUGAGGUAUGUGAGUGUGUAGUUAUGGUUUAGGAUGAUAGUGGUGGGGGUGGUGGGUGAUGGCACUGGUGGCGGCUAUGGUUGAGGAUGGUGGUGGUAGUACAUGAUAAUGGUAGGCGGUGGCGGCAGUUAGUAAUGAAUGUGGAUAAUAACAUCUUAAUGAAAUUAAGUGUUUGUUAUAGAUCUUAAUCAUAUAGACUUAUUCAGACCCAUUAAGUGGUUGUAAAGUAAAAAACUAAUGAUUAUGAUAUGAAUGGUUAAGAUUUGGACUUUAAAAAGAAAUGCACAUAACAUUUGAGACCUGAAUAAUUAAGAUUCAGAGUUCCAUUAAGUGCAAAAAAAUGGUCUAUUAUCCCAGUUGCUCUAUCUUUUUUAUUUAUCUAUACUAGUUAUUGCAUUCCUUUUCAUUUAUGCAUCUUAAAUGGUGAAACUUUAAGGGUCAAAUUUUAAGUUUUGCUAAAUAAUUUCUAAAAAGAUAUCUGAAAUUUUUUUUUCUGGAUAAAACAAAAUUAUUAUUAUAGUCUUUAUUUGAAUAUUGAUAUUUUUGGUUUGAAUAUCAAAUUUUUGAAUUGAAUACUAUAGUUUUGAAUUGAAUAUUGCAUUUUUGACUUGAAUGCUAUUAUUUUGAAUUGAAUACUAAAGGUUGAAUUGAAUAUUAUAUUUUUGAAUUGAAUACUAUAAUUUUGACUUGAAUAAUAUUAGGGUUUUGUGAUUUGUUAUGAUGCUAACAGACCUGAAAAGCUCUAUAGAACCCUUGGAUUGGUGCGCAAGCAAAAGAAAAGCAAAAAAGUUUAACGAGCUCUUAUUCGUCCCUUGCGAACCUAUAUACUCUUGUCCUUUUGAGUGUAAAGGACACAAGCAACUGCCUUGGGUAUCUCUGAGGAUUGAUCCAUGGGAGUGUUUUCGUAUUUCUGAAUUGAAUACUGCAAUUUUGGAUAGAAUGCUGCUUUUUUAAAAAAGAGUAAUACUCUAGUUUUGAAAACAAUAGUUUUGGAUUGAUGUAUUGGGAAAAAUAGAGUAUAGAUAUUAAAGUGGUAUAAAGAUGACUUGUCAUGACACAUAGACUGGUCAAAAAGUUACGACUGGCGAAGAGGCGCGAGUUGCAACAGAAACAAAAAGAGGCAAACGAAGAGGCUCAAUCAGUUAUUUAAAUGACUCAGCACCCGUACCUAUUUAGGUCCAUAAAUCAAGGGAAAAGAAUCUGACAAUACAUACGAGUAAAGAUAGAGUAGUUAAUGAGCCUUAAAUACUAAAUAAUUACAUAUUAUAUAUUAAAUAUAAUGAUUAUAUAACGUAGCAUUUAAUAUCUUUAAUUGCCCAUAAUAGCCUUAAUAUGACAAAGGCAAAACGCACAUCUCCAAAAUAGCUAUAAAAGAGAGAGAAUUGAUCAAUUGUAGGGACAAACAAAUUACUAUUUGAAUAUAUCGAUUUACUUACUUUUCUUCUAAUUAUUAUAUUGGAAAAAAUCGAUUUUACAUAUUAGAGAUGACGUGUCAUGACACGUGAAUUAGUCAAAUAGUCAAAGCAACAAAGUUAGCUAAGAGCCAGAAGCAACAACAAAUGCGAGAAAAGAUAGUGGAAAAGACACGGGCGAUUACUCAUGAGAUGCUGAGCCCAUACCUAUUCAAGACAUUUAAAGCACAAAGAUCAAAUGAGAUGAACCUAAUAUCCUAGGAGAGACCAGAUACAGUAUUUAAUGCAUACUAAAUACUAAAAACGUUAGAGAAUAUUUAUUUAAUGUCUGGUUGUGCAACGUAUUAAUAAAUGUCAUUCAUUAGUCAUUAUUGCCUCAUGAUAGCUUAAGGCAAGGCUCGUAGUCUCAAAAAGGCUAUGAAAGGGGGAAGAACCAACAACUGUACGACACAAGGAAUUACUUGAAUAUAUUUGAUUUACUUACUCUCUUACUAUCUUUCUCUCAAAAUUCUAUCUUUAUAUUUUCUUCUGAUUAUCAGUAGCCUGUGUUUUCAUAAAUUCUUUGCUUUGACCAAAGUCUCAUGUUUGUUAAACAAAUUCGUCUGCUACCGGAAAUUUGAUAAUCAAAUUCCACCUACAAUGCAAACAACAAGGACAACACGCUAGGAAACCAGGUAAAUCAAACCCAACAAGAUCAGAGAGAUUUACAAAACAUUCACUUGGUCCCUUAUCCACAUGGUUCACCACGGCAAUCCCGUGAAGGUACUCCUGAGUCCCAUGAUGGUGCAUAGAAACAAUCUGAACAUUUUGAAGGGGAAGAUGAGGCUUUACAAAAAUUAAUUGAUGCACGGGUCAACAAAGCGUUUCUGGCUCUAGUCAGUCGGUUACCUGCUGCACCUCCUAUACCUACACCCAAUAACAACACGUUGGAGAAUCCCCGUUCUGGGCUUGUUAAUUCUGGUAAUGGAGGAACCACCAAUAAAUCGUAGGAGGGAGAACCAGGUAAUUCAACUAAUUCUCAUUUGCAAAAUUUAGUACAAAGCUUGCAGAAAUAGCUCAAGGAACAAAAUGACCACAUAGAGCAAAUCCCCGGAGUUCCACAUGUAAUCAAGGGAGUUGAUAUGGAUAAAUAUUCACAACAACCAUGGAAGCCAAGAGCUGCCCCUCCCAAUUCCAAAGAAAUUCAAAAUGCCUAAUGUCUCACAGUAUGAUGGAACAACAUACCCACGAGACCACGUGACGACAUUUACAACUGGCGUAAAGGGCAAUGAUUGGACCAAACAAGAGAUCGAAUCAGUAUUGGUCAAAAAAAUUGGUGAAACAGUCACCAAAGGGGCACUAACGUGGUAUUCUCUCUUACCCAAAAAUUCUAUAACCUCUUUUGCUGAGCUUGCAGAUUCUUUCAUCAAAGCACAUUCGGGAGCCCAAAAGGUAGAUAAAAGAAUGGAGGAUAUCUUCAAAAUCAAGCAAGGCGAUUAAGAACUACUUCGAAAUUUUGUGGAUAGAAUUCAAUGUGAAAGAAUGACUUUACCGCGUGUACCUUACAAUUGGGAAACUAUAGCUUUCACGAGUAAUUUGAAUGAAAGAAGCUCGGACGCCAUGAGGAGACUCAAGGAAAGCCUACGAGAAUUCCCUGCUACAAUGUGGAAUGAUAUAUACAACAGGUACAUCACGAAGCUGCAGAUUGAAGAGGAUACUGCUCCAAGAUUCCAAAAGGAUGAAAAAGUAAGUUCAAGACAUGCAGAAAAUGAAAUGAGGUCCGAUAAAAAUAGAUACGACUAUACACUGGACCUGCGGGAAAAGACUCACAGUCAAGAUCAGAUAAUCAAAGGUACGAUCACAACUCUAGAAAAAAUGAGUCAGGAUCCUCAUUUAGAUUUAGGAACGAGCAAAACAAGCAAGAGUCACGUGAUGAUGACAGAAGUUUAAAGGUGAGAGUCUGUGGCUAUAAUUUCAACGUCACCAUCUUUGAGCUCGUAGCUGUUUUGAGAAGCAUGGGAGAUAAAGUCUGAUGGCCAAAAAAGAUGAGGUCAAAUCCAAUCCGGCAUAACCCUGAUCAUUGGUGCGAAUUUCAUAAUGAUCACGGCCAUAAAACAUCUGAAUGCAGAUUUUUACAAAGUGAACUUGAUCAUCUGUUUAAACAAGAGUAUCUUACUAAGUUGUUCAAUGAAAAAGGCAAGGAGGCUUACAUGAAAAACAUGCAGGUGCCUCCAAAACCACCAUAUCCCAAAAGAACCGUCAACGUCAUAAUUAGGGGAGAAUAUAUCCGCGGUGUAAUGUAUAUAACAUCCAAUAAAGUUUCAAAAGUCAAUAUCACCCAUGGGAAGCGGGUAUGACAAGUCUUGGAGGAAUAAAGUAUUACCUUCGAUGAUGCAGAUACGGAUGGUGUAUUGUCUCCACAUAAUGACGCAUUGGUAAUAUCUCUAUUUGUAUAUGAUACUAAUGUAAACGAGUUUUGAUUGAUCUAGAAAGUUCUAUUAAUAUUAUCCUACUGAGGGUAUUGCGUGAAAUGCAAGAUGAAGAAAAAAUGAUGCCAAAGGCGCAUACCUCGUCUGGUUUCGAUAAUUCUAGAGUGGUGACAAAAAGGAGAGGUAAUAGUAACAACUUUUGCAGAAGGUGUUACUAAAGAAACUAAAUUUAAAGUAGUAGAUAUGGAAAUGACUUAUAACAUGAUCUUGGGGAUACCGUGGAUCCCAGAAAUGGAUGUUGUUCCAUCAGCUUUACACCAAGUUGUUAAAUUCCCAUCACCUUGGGGAAUUUUCCAAAAUCGUGGAGAUCAAAAUGCAGCCAAGAAUAUUAAUUCCGUGACAGAAGAGAAAUAACAAUCACAAAGAGUAGUUGAGGAAAUCACAUUUCAAACAUCAACUGAACAGGAACGAACAUAUAUAGACUCGAUACUUGACACAAUUCAAGAUCCAGAGGAAAAUGAAAAUAUCAAAACAACAAUUGAAGAAUUGGAAGCUGUUGUAUUUUUUGAGCAAUGGCCCGAGCGGAAGGUUUAUGUUGGAGAAAUUAUGAGCCCGGAUAUGAUAGGUAUGAUAAUUAAAUUUUUAAUAGCUAACGUGGACUUUUUUGCUUGGUCCAUGCUUAUAUGACAGGUAUACCACCGAAGGUAAUGACUCACAAGUUAAAUGAAGACCCAUCAUUCAAACCAAUCAAACAAAAGAAGAGAAAGCAAGGAGCUUUCAACAAUCAGGUGAUUCAAGAUGAGGUUCAGAAAUUAUUAAAAAUUGGGUGUAUCCGCGAGGUAAAAUAUCCUAACUUUUUAGCUAAUACCAUUGUGGUGCCUAAAAAGAAUGGUAAGUGGCGAGUUUGUUUGGAUUAUAUAGAUCUUAAUAAAGCUUGUCCAAAAUACUAUUUUCCUCUACCGCAUAUAGAUCAAUUAAUGGAUGCUACUGCAGGGCAUGAGCUAUUAAGGUUUUAGAUGCAUAUUUAGGUUAUAAUCAAAUAAAAAUGGAUCCUGACGAUGAAGAGAAAACUUCUUUUAUAACAUAUAGGGGGACUUAUUGUUAUAAAGUAAUGCCCUUUGGUCUAAAGAAUGCAGGAGCAACUAAUCAAAAGUUGGUUACUAAAAUGUUCCAAGAACAUUUGGGAAAAACUAUGGAGGUAUACAUAGACGAUAUGCUCGUCAAAACUCAUCAUUCUAAUGAUCAUAUAUCUCGUUUGUCUGAAAGAAUCAAAUUUUGAGAAAGUUUAAUAUAGCUUAAUCCAAAAAAAAUGUUCUUUUGGAGUCUCAUCAGGUAAGAUUUUAGGUUUUCUUAUUUCUAACCGUGGUAUUGAAGUAAACCCUUCACAGAUCAAAGCAAUAAAGGAAAUUCCUGAUGUUCUAUCAAAUAAAAAAGAAGUCCAAAGACUAACAGGAUAGAUUUCAGCCUUGGGAAGAUUCAUUUCUAAAUCAUAAAAAAAGUGUUUUAAAUUCUUCGCAGGACCUAAAAAUCAAGAUCAUUUUGAGUAGAAGGAAGACUGUAAACAAGGACUUAUAAAUUUGAAAAUAUAUUUAUCAAAUCCGCCAUUACUUGCAAAACCAAAAGCAUGGGAAAGGUUACUUAUUUAUCUUGUUGUUUCAGUAGUUGCGGUAAGUGCUGUUUUAUUCUGGGAGGACCAAGGUAAACAAUCCCUUAUCUGUUAUGUUAGUAGAUCUUUGUUAGAUGCAGAGACACGGUAUCCGCAAUUAGAAAAACUAUCACUUUCUUUAAUCAUGGAAUCUAGAUAAUUAAGGCCUUAUUUUCAAUGUCAUCCUAUUGAUAUAGUAACUGCUUUCCCAUAUGUAACAAUUUGCAUAAGCAUGACUUAUUAGGAAUGUUAGCAAAAUGAGCUAUUGAAUUAAGUAAAUACGAAAUCACUUAUCAACUAAGAACUACAAUAAAAUCUCAAGUAUUAACUGAUUUAUUGGCUGAUUUUAGCCAAGGGAUGCAGUUAGAAGCGGAAAAAGAGUUACAAGUUUUCAUUGGUGCAAACAUAGGAACUUGGAUUUUAUUUACUGAUGGUUCAUCAAACGUAUAAGGCGCAUGAUUAGGAAUUGUUCUUGUACCACCUACGUGCGAAACCAUUAGACAAGCUAUAAAAUGUCAUUCUAUAACUAACAAUGAAGCAGAGUAUGAAGCUAUAAUUGUAGGUUUGGAACUAGCAUAAGAACUUGGUAUAACCCAAGUUAUAAUCAAAAGUGAUUCACAACUCGAGGUUAAUCAAAUCCUGGGGACUUACACAGCCAGCGAAGCUAGAAUUCAGCACUACUUAGAAAAAGUACGUGAAUUGAUAAAGCAAUUUUAACAUGGAAGGUUGUGCAAAUACUAAGAAAUGAAAAUGUGAAAGCAGAUGCUUUAGCCAAUCUCGCGUUUGCAGGUGACGUGGAAAACAAUGCAAAUGCUUCAAUUAUACACUCAUUGCAUUCCGUUCUCGAACCUGAUAAAAAUGAGGUAAAUUUUAAUAAUUUAACUUGGGAUUGAAAAAAUGAAAUUGUUGUUUUUUUUGUUGUACAGUACCGUACCUGAUGACAAAAGAAAAGCACAUGCGCUUCGUAAAAAGGCUGCCCGUUACUAUUUCAACCAAAGAAAUCUUUAUCGAAAAAAUAGUGGUGGACAUUUAGCAAGAUGUCUCGGACCUUCUCAAAUGGAAUACUUAAUGAGGGAGAUACAUGAGGGACACUCCAGGAAUCACGCAGGAGGAAGAUCAUUGGUAAGAACUUUUAUUAGGGCAAGGUAUUAUUGGCCUAAUAUGGAAGAGGAAGCGGAAAAUUUCGUAUCUAUAUGCAACAAAUGUAAAUGGUACAGUAAUAAUAUGCAUAUACCAGUGGAGCUAUUGCAUCCAGUCAUAGCCCCGUGACCCUUUAUGAAAUGGGGAAUAGAUAUCGUGGAUCCAUUACCAGAGGCGAAAGGUCAGGGAAAAUUUUUACUUGUACUCACUGAUUAUUUCACUAAAUGGGUAGAAGCAAGAGCAUUUAAAUAGGUACGAUAUUUGGAGGAACAUAAUAUGCUGAUUUGGAAUACCAACGGAGAUCGUAUGUGAUAAUGGUCCACAAUUUAUAGGAGCCCAAAUCACAAAAUUUUUUCAAAGUUGGCAAAUCAAAAGGACAGCAUCCACACCAUACCAUCCAGUAGGUAAUGGGAAAGUGGAAUCCACAAACAAGGUCAUUAUCAAUAAUUUGAAGAAGUUGUUACAUGAAUCAAAAGGUAACUGGCAUGAGGUAUUACCUGGGGUUUUAUGGGAUUAUCGUACUACAAAAAUGAGCACGAGAGAAACACUAUAUUCAGUGGUUUAUGGUGCUGAGGCUUUUAUUUCACUCGAUAUAGGAGAACUAAGCACACAAUUUAUAAAGACAACAGAAGAAUCCAAUAGUGAAGAGAUGCGGAUCAACCUUGAUUUACUCGAGGGAAGAAGAGAAGCUGCAAUCAGGUCAUUGAAUGAUUUACAACUGAAAAGCACACCUUAGAUUCUUCAAAGUUGGGGACUUUGUGCUUAAAAAGGUUUUUCAGUCUACAAAAGAUGCUAAUUCAUGAUAGUUAAGUCCAACAUGUGAAGGGCCCUAUAUAAUUCAGGAUAUUGAAGGAAAAGGAGCAUACGAGUUGGAGACAAUGGAUGUGAAAGUUCUACCUUCGCAUUGGAACGCUGUUCAUUUGAAGAGAUAUUACUUCUAAUAAAAUACACACGGCUAGGUAUCACCACGUUAAAUUUUAUCUUUGAAUUGUUUAAAUUUUACUAACGAUUUUAGAUGCUAGGCAAAAUGCAAACCUGUUUCGAAUGAGGAGUCAAAACCUGUACGAAAAAAUGGAAUACGUUAAAAUUCCCGGCCCAGAUUUAAAAUUAUUCCGAUGGAAACACAAACGGGUUAAGAAAUCUUCAUCAAUAAUCGCACCUCCGAGUCCGGUAUAUUUUUUCUUUUCAAGAAAAGGACCAAGUGAAAGCAAUUAACAAGUGCUCGAGGUCUCAUACUUCAACACUCAGACACUUGGGGGACUACAUAGUAUGCACACAUGUAUGCAGAAAGAGAAAGAAGUUGUGGAAAUUCAAACCCGACAUAAGUGAAAAUCAAAGAAGAGGUUACCAAGCAAGUCAAAGCCAAGAUUCUCAAGGUAGUGAAGUAUCCAACAUGGUUAGCCAACAACGUGCUAGUACCAAAGAAGGAUGGGAAGGUUAGGGUCUUUGUCGACCACCAGGAUCUUAAUCGGGCCAGUCCCAAAGACGACUUCCCCUUACCAAACAUACACAUUCUUAUUAAAAACUUUGCCAUACAUAAGUUGCAGUCUUUUGUUUGUUGUUUUGCUGGGUAUCAUCAGAUUUGGAUGGAUGAGGAAAAUGCAGAGAAAACGGCUUUCAUCACGCCGUGGGGAAUGUACUGUUACAAAAUCAUGACAUUUGGUUUGAAGAAUGAUAGGGCCACCUAUUUGAGAGCCAUGACUACUAUCUUUAACGACGUGAUAUCUAAAGAGAUAGACAUGUAUGUAGAUGACGUCACCGUCAAAUCCAAGAAAGUCACGAAUCAUAUGAAAGACCUGAGAAAGUCCAUCAACAGACUACAAUCUGAAACUUAAUCCUGCCAAGUGCGCAUUCGGGGUUCCUGCUGGAAAAUUAUUAUAUUUCAUCGUGAGUUGUCGAGGAAUAGUCUUGGAUCCAUAAAAGGUCAAAUCCAUAUAAGAGUGGCCACCGCCAAAGAAUAAGAAGGACGUGAUGAGUUUUCUGGGAAGACUCAACUAUAUUAGCCGGUUCAUAGCUUAGUCCAUGGUCUUUUAUGAACCCAUCUUAAAAUGUUGAAAAAGGACACUAUUACCAAAUGGACUAAUGAUUGUCAGAAAGCCUUUGACAGUAUCAAGGAAUACCUAUCAACGCCACCAGUCUUGGUUCCUUCUAAGCUAGGAAGACCCCUAUUGAUUUUGCGGUAUUGGAUGGAGCAUUACGUUGUGUUCUAGGACAACAUGAUUAAACUGGGAGAAAGGAGCUAGCUAUAUACUAUCUCAGUAAGAAGUUCACACCGUAUGCGGCAUCAUAUUCUCUUUUAGAGUGCACUUGUUGUGCUCUGGCUUGGGUAGUGCAGAAGUUGAGGCAUAAUUUUUGUGCCUACACUACUUACCUCGUAUCAAGAAUGGACCCGCUUAUGUAUAUCUUUCAGAAGCCCAUACCCACCGACAAGCUUGCCAAGUGGCAAAUCCUGCUAAGUGAAUUCGACAUUGUUUACGUCACUCAGAAGGCAGUCAAGGGACAAGCUUUGGUAGAUCACCUCGCCGAGAAUAUUGUGGGCGAAUAAUACAAACCUCUAAAAACGUAUUUUCAUGAUGAAGAGGUGUCCUUUAUAGGAUAAGAUAUUGCAGAUGUAAGCGCGUGAUUUUUGCCCUACAUGAAGAUAACUACUAAAAAUAAACUAAAAAACUAUUUUUUAUGGAUUUUAGAAGUAUUUCUUUAUUUAGUUGCAUUUCAUGCAUUUUUAAUAUUUUAAAAUCAUUAGAAAAAUCACAAAAAAUGUCAUGUUUUAAUUAAAUGUCACCUUAGGUCCAAUUUUCAUAUAGGAAUUAAUUUCAUUAAGAAACAUCACAAAAAAGAUUAUCUUUAUCUUUUAAUCUUUAAAAUUAGCAUUAUUCUUUAUUUUAAGUUAAUUAUUUAUUUUAAUGUCUACAAAAAUAAUUUAGGAUUUUAAUUAAUUAAAGAAAAGAAAAGAAAAAAUAAAGAAAGCAAUAUAUUUUGGUUUUGUUGCUUGUAAAUUUCGGCCAAUUUCUAAAAUAGUCCAACUAAUUAUUAAGGCCCAAAUCCCCUCAAGCCCAUUAUCCCCUCCUAAAAUCCUAAACUAAAAUCUAUAUAACAAUCCCUACAUUCACACACAAGAGGACACACCAUAACGCCAAAAGAGAGGAGCAGCAGCCGAAUCACAAAAAGGGCAGCCGUCGUUUGAAUUCCGGCAAACACCUUCCAUUUCUUCAAGCAAACACAUUUUCCAUAGCAACAGUAAUGCUUUUCAUCAAAUCAAUUGUGAAUUUUCUUCAAACACCUAACAAGCUAAACUUUCUGCCAAUUAACUUAAGAAGAGACAAAGCAAUUUUGGACUUUCCGAUUAAUUUUCUCUACGAGCUGUCGUAUGUCCAUUUCCGAAAAUUAUUGCCAUCGAGGAAUGAAGUUUGUUUGAGUUCAUUUUGGGUUCGAGGUUGACUCCGGUUUGAGUUUGGGGUUGCCGACAGGGUUUGCAGUCCAAGCUUCUGCUACUGUUUUAUUUUCGGGUCAGAGGUUCAUCCUUGUGUGAAUUUUGAAAGAAGCAGACAAGUAAUUGCACAGGUUCAUUUUAUCUUAUUUGAAUAUUUUCAGUUUUAUAUCGCAAUUAAACAUAUGGUUUUGUUAAAUGUUCUGAGUUUGUCUCUCUCUGCUGAACAUGAUCAUCUGUUUUGUUGCUUUAAACGUGUAGUGCCUUCAACUUAAUAUAACUCCGAGAUUAGUGAGCGCGUUCUCCGUUUUAAUUUUGUGAAUUGCAUAAUGAUUUACUUACACAUUAGGUCAGUACGAACUCUAAUAUUGGAUUUUUUCCCUCCUUAAAGACUUUUUUGAAGUUUUUGUGUUCGCCUGAAUCGUCGACGACUCGAUAAGAGCCUCGAUUGUGCGCCCUUAUAUAGCGAUAAAUGAGCACCUUGGGAGGUUUUGCUUGAUGGUUGAAUUGUUUUGAAGCCUAUUGUUUGGAGCUGAUAUGAUCGAAGCUCUUUUGCUUAUGACAAGGGUAGCCUGAUUAACUGAUUCUUUUCAAAGAUUUUUAAAAGCCAUUGAAGGCCUAUGAUUUUAUAGCGACGGUCGGGUGUCAUCGAGUUACGUUAGUUUGGACUGUACAUCCUUGUGACCGUAGUCAUUGUAUUUGGCCAGAGCCUUUUAGUCCCUGAGUGAAGUAGUUUCGGGUCUAUAUCAAGGGUAUGCCUUUUUAAUGUUCUUAUAAGUUCGGAUAUAUAGCCUUAACUAUAAGAUCAGGAUUAUGCCCUUUGUUAGGUCAUACAAAUUUUAACAUGCCUUACUUGAGGCCUUAUAGAUAAGUUACUUGGUACAAGUAUGGUUCAUGCCUUGCUUGAGGUCUUAUAGACAAGUUACUUGGUACAAGUAUGGUUCACGCCUUGCUUGAGGUCUUACAGUUUUCGUGUUGACUUAUAGAGGUCUUGCAUUGUUAAUAAUGCCUCAUGGAGGUCUUUCAUUUUCUAGUAUUUCUGCAUGGAGGGAUUUUGUACUUGAGGUUGCUCGCUUAGGGUCUUAAAGCCUUGAGUUUCCGAUGGCUGGAUGGGAUGAUAGUCGACGAUAGUCCCUGAGACGUUGAAAGUUUUUUGGCUCUGGAGCCAUUCUUUGUAAACUUGGUGUUACCUCAUUGAGGGCUUAUGAGUUAGAAGUUUCCGACGCGAAGGCCAUAUGGAUUCAUGAUGACAGUCCCUGAGUGUUCAGGAAAUCAUUAUGCACAACCGUUUUAUUCAUUUAUUUACUUAGAUGAGUAUGUUGCUAGUGAAGCAUCCUUUUUUUUUUUUGGAAGAAAUUUCAGGGUAUUGAGUUUUUUUUUAAUAAAAAAAAUGAACAACUCAAGCUGAGUUAAAACGCUUUACAGAUGAACAUCAUGACUUCUGUUAAGUUUCUUCUCUAUUUCAUUCUUUAUUUUUUUCUAUUUUAUGGCCAUUCCUUUGUCUUGUAGUUUAUUUUAAAGAAACUUGUAUUGUUACCUUUUUGUAUGCCAUUUUGUUGUUACGUUUGGCAUUUAAUUUGGAUGAUCUGAAGUUUAGUGUUGACUUGAUCUUUGAAAAACAACAUGGAAUAGCUUAGGAAAUAAUAUGAACACAUGUUAGUUUGUCUUAAUUGAGUACAAACCUUUUUAAAUAAUUUGAGGCGUGCUAUACCGAAUAAAAAUCUUAAAAUCCAUGGCCUUCAUUUAAAUUAGAUUCUUUAGAAUUUGGGAUGGGCCGUUUAGCGAAUUUCACGGCCAUCCCCAAAGAUAAUAUUGCGAUAGAAUCUUUAGACGCGUUUUAAUUAAAGUACCUUCUUAAACUCGGGUGUGCGUUGAUGCAACCCAAAUCUAAAUCUCGACGAAGACAAAACGUGUUGACGACCACGGGUGCCUUGAUGGCGACGAAUUCAGAGACUCGUUUUCACGACGUCGUAAUUCUUACAAAACAAAUGACGGUCAAUAAAGGGUUAACAAUUUGAGACGAGCCUCACCGAACAAAAUAAAUGUGGGGCCCUCAAUAAUUUGUUAAUAAAAAAUGAUUUGAAUUUCGAAGGGUCGUUUAGCGAAUUUCAACGGCCUUUCCCAAAACAAUAUUACGUUUGAACCUUUAGGCCCGACAUUUAAUAAUAUUACCUUCUUAAACUCGGGUGCGCAUUGAUGCGACCCAAAUCCAAAUCUCGACGAAGUAGAAAUGUGUUGACGGCUACGGGCACCUUGAUGGCAACAUGGUCAAAGACGCGUAUUCACGACGUCGCAAUUCUUUUAAAAUUAAUAAUGAUGGAAAGCGGUAUAUAAAAAAAAGACCACAAGCUAGCAUGUAUAAGAAUCGGAUAAAAUCAAACACAGCAGUUAAGCGACCAUGCUAGAAUCACGGAACCUGAGAAUGCCUAAUACCUUCUCCCGGGUUAACAGAAUUCCUUACUUGGAUUUCUAGUUCGCAAAGUGUAACAGAGUCAUUAUCUUCCUCGGCCACAAAUCUCUCAAGUGGAGACACUGAAUAAUUAAUAAUCAAACCCCGUUCCGAUUGUCAUUUAAUUGGAAAAACUCCUUUACACUCCCUUUAGGGNNNNNNNNNNNNNNNNNNNNNNNNNNNNNNNNNNNNNNNNNNNNNNNNNNNNNNNNNNNNNNNNNNNNNNNNNNNNNNNNNNNNNNNNNNNNNNNNNNNNNNNNNNNNNNNNNNNNNNNNNNNNNNNNNNNNNNNNNNNNNNNNNNNNNNNNNNNNNNNNNNNNNNNNNNNNNNNNNNNNNNNNNNNNNNNNNNNNNNNNNNNNNNNNNNNNNNNNNNNNNNNNNNNNNNNNNNNNNNNNNNNNNNNNNNNNNNNNNNNNNNNNNNNNNNNNNNNNNNNNNNNNNNNNNNNNNNNNNNNNNNNNNNNNNNNNNNNNNNNNNNNNNNNNNNNNNNNNNNNNNNNNNNNNNNNNNNNNNNNNNNNNGUCUAUAGCGAAAAAAGAGGUGUGACAGCAGAAUCCUAUGACGAUUGGAGUGUGUUUUUCGAUGGAGCCGUAAAUUUCAAAGGAGUGGGCAUAGGAGCAGCCUGGUAUCAGAAACCGACCAACACUACUCGGUAUCCACCAAGCUCUGUUUCCCUUACACCAAUAAUAUGGCUGAAUAUGAAGCCUACAUCUUAGGGCUCAAAAUGGCCAUUAACAUGAACAUUCAGGAGUUGUUAGUGAUCAGGGAUUGAGACUGCUCAUACAUCAUGUUUGAGAAGAGUAGGAAGCCAAGAACUCUAAGAUACUUCCCUACUUGCUUCACAUACAGGAGUUGAGGAAAAGGUUCAUAAAGACAUAAUUUCAGCACGUCCCCAGGGUCAAGAACGAGUUCGCUGAUGCAUUAGCUACUUUAUCAUCCAUGAUCCAACAUCCAGAUACGAAUUUCAUUGAUCCCAUACCAGUAAAGAUUUAUGAUAAACCACCUUAUUAUGCUCACGUUGAGGAAAAAGCAGACAAAAAGCCAUGGUUCCAUGACAUCAAGGAGUACUCGACAACAGGAGAAUAUCUAGAACUUGCCAACACUGCUAAGAAGUGCACACUUAGGAGGUUAUCUAACAACUUCUUUCACAUUGGAGGAAUCAUGUAUAGGAUGACUCCUGAUUUGGGUAUAAUAAGGUGUGUCGAAGAAAAAGAAGCAUCCAGGCUAUUAGACAAAAUGCAUGCAGGGACCUGCGGGCUGCACAUGAAUGGUUUUGUUUUAGCGAAUAAGAUACUCCGAGCAGGGUACUUUUGGAUGACUAUAGAAACACAUUGUGUCCAGUAUGUUCGCAAAUUCCAUCGCUGUUAGAUAUAUGCAGAUAUGAUAAAGGAGCCUCCAAACGAGCUUACUGCAACAAGCUCACCAUUGCCAUUCACCGCUUGGGGAAUAGAUGUUAUUGGACCUAUCAAGCUUGCUGCAUCAAACGGACACAGGCUCAACUUAGUGACAAUUGAUUAUUUUACCAAAUGGGUAGAAGCAACAUCAUACAAGGCGGUAACUAUGAAAGUUGUGGCAGAUUUUGUCCGCGACCGCAUUGUUUGUCGGUUCGAGAUUUCAGAGUCAAUUAUUACAAUUAAUAGUUCCAAUCUCAACAACGACUUGAUGAAAAUAAUGUGUGAAACAUUCAAGAUCAAACACAAGAACUCUACAGCCCACAUGCCUCAGAUGAAUGGAGUUGUAGAGGCAGCCAACAAGAAUAUCAAGAAGAUACCAAGGAAGAUGAUCAGAAGACACAAAUAAUGGCAUGAGAAGUUAUCAUUCGCCCUAUGGGGAUACCGCACUACAGUCCGCACAUCAACUGGGGCAACUCCUUACAUGCUGGUUUAGGGUACCGAUGCGGUCAUCCCCGCAAAGGUAGAAAUUCCCUCCUUAAGGAUCAUACAAGAAGUAGAGUUUGAUGGUGCAGAAUGGGUAAAAGGUCGAUACUAGCAGUUAACCCUUAUAAAUGGGAAAAGAAUUAAUGCAGAUUGCCACGAUCAACUAUAUCAAAACAGAAUGUCCAAAGCAUUCAACAAAAGAGUCAAGCCGAGAAUGUUUACACCGGGGCAGAUGAUGUUGAAGAAAAUAUUCCCACAUCGAGAUGAAGCCAAGGGGAAAUUCUCUCCCUACUGGCAAGGUCUGUACAUGGUUCACCAGGUUCUAACCGGGGGAGCCCUUAUUCUUACAGAGAUGGAAGGAGAAGUCUGACCAAAGGCAAUCAAUUCAGAUGCUUUAAAAUGAUACUAUGUGCAACCAUUUAUGAUUCCCUUUAUGAUGUACUUUGAACUACGCCUAACAUGAUUCCUGUUUAAGAGGGGAUACGUAGGUAGCCUUAUGAGUUCGUUCAAAAUUUAAUAAAAUUAUAUUUCCCCCCCUGCUAUGGUAACUGGGCCAGAAUUUUAAGGACCCCCAAAAUUCCAAAGUUUCUUUUCAACCAUUCAUCAUCAGGAAUUCCAGCCCACUAAACUAGUGCAGAAUUUUGAGGAGGACCCUCAAAAUUCCGAAAAUGGUUUUCAUCCAUUCAUCGUAAGGAAUGUCAGCCCAGUAAACUAGGGCAGAAUUUUCGAGGAGGAUCCUCAAAAUUACGAAGUUGAAUAUUAAGGCGUUCUACGCAGCCGUUGGAAGUGUCAGCACAGUAAACUUUGGAAAAAUUUUGAGGAGGACUCUCAAAAUUUUGGAGCGAGAGAGCUUGUAAUGACUUGAACCACGUCGCAGUCGUUGGUUCAUCUAAAGAAAACUAUUUUCUAUUAUAUACUUACGUUAUAUUUACUAAAUCAUGCAUAACUAUUAGCCAAAUUUAUGUUGUUAGCGAUGCUACCCACCCCAAUGACACACAACGCUUGGAGCCGGUGGAAGACGAACUAACCUUCCCCCUUUACAGAACUCUCAAUUUUUCAUUGGAUGCAGGCACUUGACUUGCAUUAUCGUCAGGUAUAUUUAUGUAUGAAUACUUUCCCAAGAAUGCAACUUCUUAGAAUCAUCACUUUUUUGCAAUUGGUAUCCGUACACAACAUCCCCUGCAGUCACGCUAUCGUAAUCGGCUAUCAUCUAAGAGAUCUUAGUACUAUUCAUCCUUUUAAAUUCUUGCAUUGCAUAAGGCUACUCUUCAGCCUUUCGAGACUAAGCACUGUCUCCAUAUACAUUAUCUACAUAAUACUAUUCUUCUGCCUUUUGAGACUAAGCAUUGUCUCCAUCUGUAUUUCUUCAUAAGGCUACUUUUCCGCCUUUCGAUACUAAGCACUAUCUCCAUCUGCAUUUCUUCAUAUGUCUACUUAUCUGCCUUUCGAGACCAAGAACUGUGUCCAACUUUAUUAUCUGCAUAAGGCUACUCCUCUGCCUUUCGAGAUUAAGCAUUUUCUCCAUUUGCAUUUAUGCAAAAGGCUACUUAUCUGCUUUUCGAGACUAAGGACGGUCUCUAUCUACAUUUAUGCAUAAGGCUACUCUUUUGCCUUUCGAGACUAAGCACUGUCUCCUUCUGCAUUUCUGCAUAAGGCUACUUAUCUGCCUUCCGAAACUAAUACUUGUCUCCAUCAGCAUUUUCUACAUAAGGCUACUCUUCUCCCUUCCGAGGUUAAGCUCUACCUCCAUCGGCAUAAGGCUACUUAUCUGCCUUCCGAGUUUAAGCUCAGUCUCCAUCUUUAUUUUUGCAUAAGGCUGCACUUCUGCCUUCCGAGGUUAAUCUCUACCUCCAUCGGCAUAAGGCUACUUAUCUGUCUUCCGAGACUAAGCAUUGUCUUUUGCUGCAUGGCUGAAAUAUCACCACUUAAUGUUAUCACAUACGACUUCAAUAUUUCCACCUGCAUUUAAACUUUUGCUUUAGCCGAAACAUCUCCACCUGCCGCAUUCCAUCGCCUUAAAGAUUUCCAUCCUCUCAUGGGCUCAAAAAUUGCCAACUUAUUCAAUGGUAUCAUAGUUCAGAGACAUCGUCCGCAUAGCUCGAGAACAUCAUUUCAUAGCCUGCGAGUCUUUAUUUACGCUCUUCAUGCCCUGAGACGUCAUAGUGUGAGGACGUCAUCCUAACUGUCCAAAGGCAACAUUCAUGGUCUAAUGGAAACUUGCAGCGCGUUUAAUUUAUGCCUAAUACAUGUUGCAUCGCCUACUUGUAGGUGCAUCGGCUAGCAAACGGUCAUCUCAGCAGGAGCGAUCCCACUCCGAUUCCCGCAGCUUAUUAAAUUUCAAAUACCUCCUACAACCUAAAGCAUCAUGUCCGUUCUUCUCAUAUCUCCAUCGGCACAUUCCGUCAAUGGUUCUUGAACUACAUAUGAUCUGAUUCCUGUAAAACCUGGGAUAUGAGGCAGCUCAAAAAUCAGAGCUCGGACAAAAUUCUUUUCAAAGUGCUGAUUCCAGACAAAAUUGGCUAUCUUAUCCUUACCCGACAACUCUUUCAUCAUUCUCAGGUAAAGAGGGGCAGUUGUUGAUACCCAAAUUCUCCCUAGGUAUUUUUAUAUCCAAAAUACUUCCAAAAUAGCAUAUAUGUGCAUAUAUAAGCACACCCAAGAGUUUUUAUAUUUUAAAUGAAUUUUAAACCAGUUUACUACUUAUUUUAAUACCACAAAAUCCCUAUAAUUAUUCCCCCAAACUAUCAUUCUUGGUGAAUAACUUAUUUCAUUCUCAUAUUUACACCAAAAUAUAAUUAAGAUGAUUUUGCAUAUUUUUACAAAUUUAUUUUGUAUUUUUAAUGCUAAAUUGUAUGUAAUUGCAAUUAUAGUCUAUUUAAUGAUUAAUGGCAUUUUACAAUUACAAAAUUAAUUCUAGUAUUUUAGAUUAAUAUUCAUAUAAUAUUUGCUUACCCAGUAUUUUAAAUUUUCUUUUAAAAUCGUUAUUAGUAUUUUUAUAAAAUAAAAAGGGGAAAAGUGGCUAUUUAAAAUCUAGCCCCAAUUGCAUUUCAAUUACAACCCGAAUUGAUACCCCUAACUAGCCCAAUUUUGCCCCAAAUCGAAAUGAACCAAAUUUAAUUUGGGCCCGAUAGCCAAACUUGUUCGGUUUCUAUUUGAAAUCCUGGCCAUGGAUCAUUUUGAUCAACGGCUCUAACACACUCUUUCCUUUUUUAAUUGCCCAACCCCUUUAACCCUAAGUCAUUUUCAUGAGGGCGCCACCCUUGAAACCUUUCUUAUAUAAGAUACUCUCUAGCUCCUCGAAACCCUAAUCACCUCCCGCAUGUCUCACUCUUUUAAAAUAGUAUCGAAUUUUACUAAAACAAGUAACUUUAUGCAUCCUUUUUGAACUCGUGAAACUUUUUCUCAUAAUCCAAUCAGUGCAUUUUUUUGUGAAACAUACUUCUUUCUGACAUCUCUGGUAAACAUUUUCAAAACUAGUUUGCAUUCUUUUAAAUUCAAUUCUUACAUGAUAAGCCCUUUUCUAAUCAAUUUGUAACUCACUCUGUUAAAACUGGAAAUUUUGUUUUCUACAUUAAGUCUGCAAACUUAUUUUACUUUGAUAAAACUGGUAACUCUUUAUAAUCAGUUUGCUUUUCGAAAUCAUUAGUUUUAUUCAACACAUAAACAAAAGGUUGGUUAAUUAACUAUUAGGCCAGUGUUUAACAAUUGCAUUCGAGCGAACCUAAUGCGGACUUCUUGUCUAAAAGUAUGUUUUGAACCAGUCCGCUCAUCGCUUUUAUUUAAUUUUAGACAAAAUCACUACGUGCAAGACAUGCUAAACUCUAUGGCUUUACCUGAUUUAAGGAGGCUUACUUAAGUUCUACUUGCUUCUUUGCUUUCCCCUUACUUGCAUUAUGUGUUUUGAUUGACGCCUUAGUAGUUGGUCCUUUAAAAAUUCUCAAAAGGCCCCAAAAUCCCUUUCCUUUAAGGACUAGUAGUCCCAAAUACCUCCGGGACUGAUAGGAUUGGGACGGGUACUAGCACGCAAUAAGUAACGAGACAUUGCUUGCUUUAAUACCUUAACGGGGUGGGAAGAGUAGAAUAUGGAUAUGAUGAUUGGUGCGCUAGUAUCAUGUGUGACCCCUCUUUUGAGGAGUGUACGCCGGGUAUUGCAUUGAUGUGAUCCAUAUUAUUUACAAACCUAGGGCCCCUUUCUUUUUUUACUUGUUAUUCUUUUUAAGUUUUCUUUCAAACUAACUUCAUAUAUUUUCUACUCCUUUUUCUUUUUCAAACUCUUAAUCUUGUUUGCAAUACUAUGUAAAAACCCUCUUCUUUAUUUGAGGCUUCUACUUGUGUUCUUCAUUGCUUAAAGUCACAAUUGUAGCAUGAUCGGAAACUACACUAGUGGAUCUCGAGGGGUGCCUAAAACCUUCCCCUCGAGAUAAUUUCUAGCCCUUACCCAAACUCUGGAUCUUCAUCUCAAAUCUUUCUUAAAAGUGUCCUAAUGCACUAUUAUCAAUAUAUGUCGACUCUCCAAACUCCAAAACCCAAUUUUCGCUAGGGAAUAUACUUGUCCUCCUAAAUGCCAUAUACCUGAUUUUGACUCUUAGAAAAAUGAGGCGUCGACACACGGUAUCAAAAACAAGAAAAAGUAAGUUCGAGACAGGAAAAAACAGAAAAAAUAUCUGGUAAGAACAAGUACGAGUCGUACAUGGGACCUGAGGGAAAAGACUCAGGGUCAAAAUAGGCUAAUCAAAGGUAUGAUCACAGAUCAAGGAAUAGAGUGUUUUUCUCUUCAUUAUGGGUUAGGAAUGAUCGAAACACCAAUGAGUCAUGAGAUGAUGAUAGAAAUUUGAAGGCGAGAUUUGGCGGUUACAAUUUUGUGAUGACCCGAUCCGUCAUCUUUUGUAUUUCAACCACGUUAUUCCCGUUUUAUGCUUCCUCGUGUGUUGAUAUAUGUGUUUGAUGAGUUUGAAGUGUGUUGGGUUGAAUUUGGUUAGAAAUGAGACCAAUAGUCUCUUUAAGGAAAGCUUAAGUUGAAAACGUCAACCGAACGUUGACCUAUGAGUUAGAGGAUUCGGAACGGAUUUCCGAAGGCUCGACUAGUUUUGGGGGAUGAUUUAUAACUUAGGAGAGAAAACGGAAGUGGAUUCGGAGGUCUGGUGUGAAAGUUAGCCUAGUUUGGUGAAGUUGGAAUUUCAGAGAAAUCCGGUUGGAAUGCGAGAAUUUGACCCGAGGGUCGGAAUUGAAUUCUGAGGGUUUCAAUAGCUUAGUUAGGUGAAUUUGGAUAUGUGAGAAAAUUUCAGGUCAUUCGGACUUCGUUUGGUCGGUUUCGGAAUCGAAUGUGAUUUUGGAAAAUUCUAAGUUAUCUUAGGCUUUGACUUGAGGAAAAUGAUGAUUUUGGGUGAUAAUGUUGGUGUUUUCAUGGCUCGAGCAAGUUUGAAUGAGGAAAUUGGUCAUAUUUGUGUUUUUGGUUUAGACCCGGGGGCCUCGGGGUGAUUACGGGUUGUUAAACGAGGAUUUUGGAAUUUGCUUCAGGCUUAGGCCUUAUGUCUUAGGUAUUUCCGCAGAAGCGGAUGGAAGACCGCUUAAGCGGUGUCCGUAUGGGCGUCUAUAGAUCCGCAGAAGGGGCCAAGGGGAUUUUGACUGGGAUCGCAGAAGCGGACAUGUGAUCGCAGAAGCGAAGGUCGCGGAAGUGGUCAAGGACCGCAGAAGCGGUCGCUGACGAUUUAAGGAAAACCGCAGAAGGGAUCAAAUCACGAAAGCGGGAGUCGCUGAAGUGGAAAAAGGGUCGCUGAAGUGGAAAUCGACCUGGUUUAAUGAAAUAGUGGGUUAUCAUAAUUUUGAAAAAGAGAAUAACAUUGGAACCUCGGGCUAAGGCGAUUGUGGCGGAUUUGGGAGAGAUUUUUGAGGGAAUUCAACAGGUAUGGACUCUUGGACCUAAAGUAUAUCAUUAUAGCUUAAAAUCAUUGAUUAAACACUAAGAAUUCAAGGUUUUUAAUGUCUAAAAUGGUGGUUAGGGCUUGAAACUCCAGUAAGCUUUAAGUGAUAAAUUAAGGGGUCAAAUGAACUCCGAUUCUUGUAAAUUUGAUAUGUAUGGAAUCGUGUCGCGAUAUGGAUCUUUUUGGUGUAAAGUUUUCUAGAUUUUGAGAUGUGGGCUCCGGUUUUGCUAAUUUCGUGAAUUUCAAUGUUUUUCGAGUUCUUUCGAUUGGGUUAUAUUCCAUUAUCCUAUUAUAAUGUAUUCGUUGUGGUUUUGGCCAGAUUCGAUGCUCGUAGAGGUUGAUUUGAGAGGAAAGGGCAUUGUGAGCUAGUCUACGGCUGGCUUGAGGUGAGUAAUGGGUGUAGAUAAUGUCAUGAGGGAUUGAAACCCCGGUAUAUCACAUUGUGACGCUAUAUGAGGCGAGACACGCACUCCGUGGCUGGUGUAGGUCAUAUAUAUGGGAAAUUAUGACUCGGUUCAAUCCGAGGGAUGAAUUAUACUAUAUUGGCGAUUGCUUCGCACCUAUAUUGGUGUUAUCUGAGCUUGAUGCCAUGUUUGGGGGCUUGUGACGACUUGCAGAAUCCUUUAGGGAUUGAUAUUUCAGAGUUAGCAUGAUCUACAUACUAUUUGAAUUCAGUCCAGGGUUUUUAACACUAUUUUUUUUGCAAACUCAGCCAUUAUUCUAUGAUUUGAAAACAGAAAUGAUUCUUAAAUGAUAUUUUGGGCUGACGAUCAUUAUCUCACUAUUUUUUGGCUGUAUAUUAUUUCUUGGAAUGGUGAUAACUAUUGGCACCGUAUAUCGAAAUGUUAACGGCGGUAACUAUUGACACGGUGAAUUGUAAUGGAAAUAGUGGUAACUAUUGGCACUGUAUGAUAUGGCGCUUGGGCUAUAGGAGCCCCUCCGGAGUCUGAACCCCCACAGUGAGCACAGGUACCCAUACAGAUGGCUCGGGCUACACGCCGCAGUGUUCAUGUGCAUUGCAUUGCAUUGCAUUGCAUAGCAUUGCAUUUCAAGCAUUUACUUCCUGUUGAGUUAUAUGUAUAUCUCUGAGGCUGGUGCUGUAAAGAAUUGUUAGUUAGCUUUACAUUGUGUUAUUUCGUGUUCUCUUUUUUUCGGGUUUUUAUAUAUGCUUAUUACUCGCUGAGUAUAUAGAUUCACCCAAUACUCCCUGCACCUUGUGUGCAGAUCUAGGUGCAUCAGAGAUCUAGUGCUGCUGAUGUUGCUUAUCCGAGCUAUCAGAGUGUUGAGGUAGAUGCCUAUUCUCUUCGGGUUUUUAUAUAUUCUUAUUACUCGAUGAGUUGGUAGACUCACCCCAUGCUCCCUGCACCUUGUGUGCAGAUCCAGGUGCUCCAGAGAUCUAGUGCUGCUGGUGUUGCUUAUCCGAGCUAUCAGAGUGUUGAGGUAGCUGCCCAGCAUCCGCAGGACCGCUUACUCUGUUUCUAUCAGUAUGUUCCUUUGUAGUUUUUGGCAGACAUUUGUAUCAUUUCCAUUCAAACUUGUAUUGAGUAUGGUUAGAGGCUCACUACUCGUGACCCUAUGGUUUUGGGGGUAUUGUUGGCUCAUCUGUGUUUACAUCCGUAUUGCUUAUCCCUCGCUGGGAGUUUAUAUUUCUAAAUUUGCUAUUUUACCUUAAACUUGGAUCUCUUGGGGCUGGAAUGCCGUUUUUUGGAAGUUAUUUGGUCGGGCUUGCCUAGCUUUGCGACCGGGCGCCAUCACGACCGGGUUUUGGGCCGUGACAAGUUGGUAUCAGAGCCUAGGUUGCUAGGCCUCACGAGUUAUGAGCCGGUUUAGUAGAGUCUCACAGAUCGGUACGUACAAGUCCGUAUCGUAUCCUCGAGGGGCUACAGAACUUUUAAGAAACACUUCACUUUCUUGGAAUUCUUAUCGUGCAACUUUGUUGAUCUAAGAACUGAAACUUUUUAUUCAAGUCUCUUGCAGAUUGCGAGAACCCGUACUAACGAACGUUGAGGACGACCACCAGUGCCACCUUCUGUAGGCUGUGGGCAUGGUCGUGGUCGUGGUCAAGUUGGACCAGCGGAGACACCACAUGUAGACCCACCAGCUGUUUAGAUUCAGGACCAACCUCCAGUUAUGGAUGUAGCAGCAGCAUCUACUCAGGUGAGCGGUAGUGCCCAUUGUGAUACCUGUUCUCCAGGAGACGUUGGCUCAGAUUUUAUCCGUCUACAUCGGGUUAGCUCAUGGUAUCAGCUACCACUGCAGCGGCUACUUCUCAGAUCGAGGGUGGUCAUCAGACCCCCACAACUCGCACAACAGAGCAGAGUGCACAUGUUUUGCAGACCCUAGAAUCACGCUCAGUUCAGGCAGUUGCCCAUGUUCAGCCAGUUGUUCCAAUUUAGGGUGAUGGGGUACCGGUGAUGCCAUAUGACGAUCAACAUCGUCCGGAGAGGAUAAACAUGCUUUCACCUCUGACUUUUAACGGUGUUCCGGGCGAGGAUGCCCAGGGGUUUCUGGACAAGUGUCGACACAUGCUUAGGACAACGGGGAUAUUGGAGACUAGUGGGGGUAUCUUUUAUCACUUUUUAGUUCUCAGGAGCAGCCUUCACCUGGUGGGAGGCAUAUGAGCGGCUUAGGCCGGUAGGGGCAGCACCGUUAUCUUGGCAAGAGUUUUCCACAAUCUUUUUGGAGAACUAGGUACCUCGGUCGCAGCGGGAGGAGUUACGCAAGCAAUUUGAGUUGCUUCGCCAGGGGGAUAUGUCUGUGACGCAAUAUGAGGUGAGAUUUGCAGAGUUGGCUCGUUAUGCUCCGUGGAUGGUCCAUACGGAUCAGGAGAGGAUCAGACGAUUUGUGGACGGGCUCAUUUAUCCUAUUCGUAUUCUGAUGACUCGAGAGAGGGUCACUUUCACGAGAGAGAGGAGAAGGAUGCCAAGAGGCCUCGAGGACUUGGUGGCUCCAGGGGUGCUCCGUCUAGGAGCCAGUUUCAGCUGGGCAUGGGUCUUUCUGUCAGGGCUCUCAAAAGGGUCAGCCAUCUCUGAGCGCACUUCCAUCGCAUGGUUCGUCUCAUGCCCUAUCUAAUUAGGGUUCAUCUCGGCCUAGUUCCUCGGCAAACUACUUUAGUGCGAGGGGUUCCCUUCAGUCCCCUUCUCCAGCUCCAGGCAGUUGUUUCGAGUGAUGAGUUUUGUCAUUGUCCUCGACUUCCUGGUGGUAGAUCUCAGCAGAGGGACCAGCCUUCAUCUUCUGGCCCAGUGUCUUAAGCACCCGCCCAGUCAGCUAGGGGUGAGGGUCAGGAAGUUAGGGGUCGCCCCGGAGGGGGAGGGGGCAAUCUGGUAGUGGUCAGGCUCGUUGCUUGGCUCUUCAGGGCAGGUCAGAUGUUUUUGCUUUGGAUGUUGUUAUUACAGGUAUUAUUUCAGUCUGCCUCAGGGAUGCCUCAGUUUUAUUUGAUCCCGGAUCCACAUAUUCUUAUGUAUCUUAUUACUUUGCUCAUCAUUUGGGGUCUACCCGAGGGUGUCUAGCAUUACAUGUGCAUGUAUUGACCCCUGUGGGUGAUAAUAUUAUUGCAGAUCACGUGUAUCGUCCUGUCUUAUUACUAUUGGGUGUCUGGAGACCCGAGCUAACUUGCUGCUAUUGAGCAUGGUAGUUUUGAUGUUAUUCAGGGCAUGGAUUGGCAAUCACCGUGUCAUGCUAUUCUAGACUGUCACGCCAAGACAGUCACGUUGUCUAUGCCGGGUACAACUGAUUAUGUACCCAGCAGGGUUAUCUCUUUCUUAAAGGCCCAGCGGAUGGUGUGGAAGUGAUGUUUAUCAAAUAUGGCAUUUGUGAGGGAUGUUGGAGCUGAGGCUUCUAGUCUUGAUUCAGUCCCCGUGGUGCGGGAAUUUCCUGAUUUGUUUCCAGCAGACCUGCCGGGCAUGCCGCGGGACAGAGAUAUUGACUUUGGUAUUGAUUUGGUGCCGGGCACUCAGCCCAUUUCUAUUCCUCCCUAUCGUAUGGCAUGAGGUAAUUCCCUGAUGUAUUUCUAGCAGACCUAUCAGGCAUGCCUCCGGACAUGGAUAUUGACUUCGGUAUUGAUUUGGUGCCGGGCACUCAGGCCAUCUCUAUUCCUCCCUAUCGUAUGGCACCAGCAGAGCUAAAUGAGUUGAAGGAGCAGCUGCAGGAACUCCUAGAUAAGGGGUUCAUUCGCCCGAGUUUGUCGCCGUGGGGCGCACCUGUGUUAUUUGUAAAUAAGAAGGAUGAAACAAUGAGAACGUGCAUUGACUACAGGCAGUUGAACAAGGUGACCGUGAAGAAUAAGUAUCCAUUGCCCCGUAUUGAGGAUUUGUUUGACCAGCUUUAGGGGGCUAAAGUUUUCUCUAAGAUUGAUCUUCAUUCAGGCUAUCAUCAGCUGAAGAUUCGGGAUUCUGAUAUAAUGAAGACAACUUUUAGGACGAGAUAUGGGCAUUAUGAGUUUCUAGUUAUGUAUUUUGGGCUGACCAAUGCCCCAACUGCAUUCAUUCACUUGAUGAACAUUGUGUUUCAGCCGUAUUUGGAUUGGUUUGUGAUAAUGUUUAUUGAUGAUAUCCUUGUAUACUCGCAUAGCCAGGAGGAGCACGCACGACAUUUGAGAGUUGUGUUGCAGAGGCUAAGAGAGGAGAAGCUCUUUGCGAAGUUCUCCAAGUGUGAAUUUUGGCUUAGUGCUAUGGUAGUUUUGGAACACGUGAUGUCCAGUGAUGGUAUUCAUGUGGAUCCAAAGAAAGUAGAGGCAGUGUAGAGUUGGCCUAUACCGUCUUCGGCCACUGAGAUUCAGUGUUUCCUCAGCAUAGCGGGUUGUUAUCGCAGGUUUGUUGAGGGUUUUUCAUCCAUUGCAUCGCCAUUAACUAAAUUGACGCAGAAGAAUGCUCGAUUUGUUUGGUCAGAUGAGUGUGAGGAGAGCUUUCAGAAGCUCAAGUCAGCAUUGACUACGACUCCAGUGUUAGUAUUGCCAGCAGCUUCAGGUUCUUAUACGGUAUAUUGCGAUGCUUCGAGGAUUGGAUUGGAUGUGUUCUGAUGUAGGAGGGUAGGGUGAUUGCAUAUGCUUCUCGGCAAUUGAAGCCCCAUGAGAAAAACUACCCUGUUUAUGACUUGGAGUUGGCUGCUAUAGUUCAUGCCUUAAAUGCUUCGAGGAUUGGUAUUGGAUGUGUUCUGAUGCAGUAUGGUACAGUGAUUACAUAUGUUUCUCGGCAUCUGAAGCCCCAUGAGAAAAACUACCAUGUUCAUUACUUAGAGUUGGCUGCUAUAGUUCAUGCCUUGAAGAUUUGGAGGCACUAUCUAUGCAGAGUAUCUUGUGAGAUGUAUACGGAUCAUCGCAUCCUUCAGCACUUAUUCAAGCAUAAAGAUCUGAAUUUGAGACAGCGGAGAUGGCUUGAGUUACUCAAGGAUUAUGAUGUUACCAUCUUGUAUCACCCAGGGAAGGCCAAUAUAGUGGCCGAUGCCUUGAGUCGGAAGGCGGUUAGUAUGGGCAGCUUGGCAUUCAUUCCAGUUGGGGAGAGACCCCUUGCCGUCGAUGUUUAGGCUUUAGCUAAUCGGAUGGCGCGGUUGGAUAUUUCGGAGCCCAGCUGAGUAUUGGCUAGCGUGGUUUACAGUCUUUUUUGUUUGACCGCAUUAGAGAGUACCAGUAUAAUGACCCACAUUUGCUUGUUCUUAGAGAUCGAGUCCUGCGCGGCGAUGCAAAGGAUGUAACCAUUGAUGGUGAUGGUGUUAUGAGGAUCCAGGGCCGUAUUUUUGUGCCCAAUGUAGAUGGGCUUCGGGAGAUGAUAUUGGCAGAGGCCCACAGCUUGCGAUACUCCAUUCAUCUGGGGGUCGCGAAGGUGUACAAGGAUUUGAGGCAGCUCUACCGGUGGAGAAGAAUGAAAAAGGAUAUUGUGUGUUAUGUAUCUCGGUGUCUCAACUGUCAGCAAGUGAAGUCCGAGCAUCAGAGACCUGGUGGUUUGCUUCAGCAGAUGGUUAUUCCUGAGUGGAAAUGGGAAAACAUCACGAUGGAUUUUGUGACUGGUCUCCCUCGGACAGCGAGGAAGUUUGAUUCGAUAUGGAUGAUUGUGGAUCGGCUGACCUAGUCCGCUCACUUUAUUCCAGUGUGUACUACCUAUUCUUCGGAGCGGUUGGCAGUGAUCUUUAUUCGUGAGAUUAUCCGAUUGUAUGGUGUUCUGGUUUCUAUUACAUCGGACAUAGGUAGUCAGUUCACUUCUUAGUUUUGGAGGGCUUUUCAUCGGGAGUUAGGUACUUAGAUUGAAUUGAUUCAGCAUUUCACCCUCAGGCGGACAGACAAUCCGAGCGUACUAUUCAGAUAUUGGAGGAUAUGUUGCGUGCUUGUGUGAUUGACUUCGGUGGUUCUUGGGAGGAGUUCUUGCCUCUUGCAGAGUUUGCCUACAACAACAACUACCAAUCUAGUAUUCAGAUGGCGUCGUAUGAGGCCUUAUAUGGGAGAAGAUGUAGAUCUCCGGUUGGUUGGUUCGAGCCCGGCGAGGCUAGAUUAUUGGGUACAGAUGUGGUUCAGGAUGCCUUAGAGAAGGUGAAGGUGAUUCAGGAGAGACUUCGUACAGCUCAGUCAGAGUUUGCCUACAACAGCAGCUACAAUCCAGUAUUCAGAUGGCGCCGUAUGAGGCUUGAUAUGGGAGACGGUGUAGAUCUCCGGUUGGUUGGUUCGAGCCCGGUGAAGCUAGAUUAUUGGGUACAGAUGUGGUUCAGGAUGCCUUAGAGAAGGUGAAGGUAAUUCAGGAGAGACUUCAUACAGCUUAUUCGCGGCAGAAGAGUUAUGUGGACCGGAAGGUUCGAGAUGUAUCCUUUAUGGUGGGUGAGAAGGUUUUGCUGAAGGUUUCGCCUAUGAAGUCGUUAUGAGGUUUGGAAUGAAAGGAAAGUUAAGUCCUCGGUUCAUUGGACAUUUUGAGAUACUUGAGAGGAUUGGGGAGGUGGCCUAUAAGCUUGCAUUGCCACCCAGAUUUUUGGGAAUUCAUCUGGUCUUUCAUGUUUCUAUGCUCCGAAAGUAUGUUGGAGACAUGUCCCAUGAUUUGGACUUCAGCUCAGUUCAGUUAAAUGAUGAUUUUACUUAUGAUAUGGAGCUAGUAGCUAUUUUGGGGCGUCAGGUUCGAGAAUUGAGGUAUAAGGAUAUAGCUUCGGUAAAGGUUCAGUGGAGAGGUCGUUUCGUGGAGGAGGCUACCUGGGAGACUGAUUAGGAGAUGCGGAGCAGAUAUCCUCACUUGUUUACUGCUUCAGGUAUGUUUCUUGACCCGCUCGAGGAUGAGCGUUUGUUUUAGUUGGGGAGGAUAUGAUGACCCGACCCGUCGUAUUUUGUAUUUCAGCCCCGUUAUCCCGUUUAUGCUUCCCCGUAUGUUGAUAUAUGUGUUUGGUGAGUUUAAAGUGUGUUGGGUUGAAUUUGGUUAGAAAUGAGACCAAUAGUCUCUUUAAGGAAAGCUUAAGUUGAAAAGUCAACCCGNNNNNNNNNNNNNNNNNNNNNNNNNNNNNNNNNNNNNNNNNNNNAUUUGAAUUUGGUUAGAAAUGAGACCAAUAGUCUCUUUAAAGAAAACUUAAGUUUAAAAAGUCAAUCGGAUGUUGACCUGUGAGUUAGAGGGUUCGGAACGGAUUUCCGAUAGGUGGACUAGUUUUGAGGGAUGAUCUAUAACUUAGGACUGAAAAAGGAAGUGAAUUCGGAGGUCCAGUGUGAAAGUUAGCCUAGUUUGGCGAAGUUGGAAUUUUGGAGAAAUACGGUUGGUAUGCGAGAAUUUGAUCCGAGGGUCGGAAUGGAAUUUCGAGAGUUGCAGUAGAAUCGUUAGGUGAAUUUGGAUUGUGAGCAAAAUUCCAGGUCAUUCGGACAUCGUUUGGUUGUUUUCGACAUCGAAUGUGAUUUUGGAAAAUUCUAAGUUAUUUUAGGCUUUGAUUUGAGGAAAAUGAUGACUUUUGGUGUUAAUGUUGAUGUUUUCAGGGCUCGAGCAAGGUUGAAUGAGGAAAUUGGUCAUAUUUGUGUUUUUGGUUUAGACCCCAGGGGCCUCGGGGUGAUUCCGGUUGAUUAAACGAGGAUUUUGGAAUUUACUUCAUGCUUAGGCCUUCUGUCUUCUGGUAUUUCCGCAGAAGCGGAUGGAAGACCGCUUAUGCGGUGUCCGUAGAGGCGACCAUAGAGCCGCAUAAGCGGCCAAUGGGAUUUUUACUGGGACCGCAGAAGCGGACAUGCGACCGUAGAAGCGAAGGUCGCGGAAGCGGUCAAGGACCGCAGAAGCGGCCGCUGAUGAUUUAAGUCAAACCGCAGAACCGGUCAAAUGGAUGCGGGAGCGGGAGUCGCUGAAGCGGAAAUCGACCUGGUGUAAUGAAACAGUGGGUUUUCAUAAUUUUGUAAAAGAGAAGAACAUUGGAAUCUCGGGCUAAGGCGAUUAUGGGCGAUUUUGGAGAGAUUUUUUAGGGAGUUCAUCAGGUAUGGAAAUUUGGACCUAAAGUAAUAAUCAUAGUGUAAAAUCAUGGAUUAAACACUAAGAAUUCAUGGUUUUUAAUGUCAAAAAUGGUUUUUAGGGCUUGAAACUCAAGUAAGCUUUAAGUGAUGAAUUAAGGGGGUCAAAUGGACUCAGAUUCUUGUAAAUUUGAUAUGUAUGGACUCGUGUUGCGAUAAGGAUCAUUUUGGUGUAAAGUUUUCUGUAUUUUGAGAUGUGGGCCCUGGGCUCAGGUUUUGCUAAUUUCGUGAAUCUCGAUGUUUUUCGAGUUCUUUCGAUUGGGUUAUAUUCCAUUAGCCUAUUGUAAAGUAUUCGUUGUGGUUUUGACCAGAUUCGGUGCUUGUAGAGGUUGAUUUGAGAGGAAAGGACAUUGCGAGCUAGUCUACGGCUGGCUUGAGGUGAGUAAUGGGUGUAGAUGAUGACCUGAGGCUUUGAAACCCCGGUAUAUCACAUUGUGAAGCUAUAUAAGGCGAGACACGCGCUCCAUGGCUUGUGUGGGGUCAUAUAUGUCGGAAAUUAUGACUCCGUUCAAUCCGAGGGAUGAAUCAUACUAUAUUGGCGAUUGCUUCGCACCCUAUAUUGAUGUUAUGUGGGCUUGAUACCAUUUUUGUGGCCUUGUGCCGACUUGUAGAAUCCUUUAGGGAUUGAUAUUUCAGAGUUAGCAUUAUUUGCAUAUUAUUUGAAUCCAGUCCAGGUUUUUUAACACUAUUUUUUUGCAAACUCAGCCAUAAUUCUAUGUUUUGUAAACACAAAUGAUUCUUAAAUGAUAUUUCGGGUUGACGAUUAUUAUCUCACUAUUUUCUGUGUUGUAUAUUAUUUCUUAGAACGGUGGUAAUUGUUGGCACCGUGUACCGAAAUGGAAACGGUGGUAACUAUUAGCACCGUGAAUUGUAAUGGAAACAGUGGUAACUAUUGGUACUGUAUGAUAUGGCUCUUGAGCUAUAGGAGCCCCUCCGAAGUCUGAACCCCCAUAGUGAGAUCGGGUACCCAUAUAGAUGGCUCGGGCUGCACACCGCAGUGUUCAUGUGCAUUGGAUUGCAUGUUAUGCAUUUACUUCCUGUUGAGUUAUAUGUAUACCUCUGAGGCUGGUGCUGUAAAGAAUUGUUAGUUAGCUUUACAUUGUGUUAUUUCGUUUUAUAUAUGCUUAUUACUCGAUGAGUUGGUAGACUCACCCCAUACUCCAUGCACCUUGUGUGAAGAUUCAGGUGCUCCAGAGAUCUAGUGCUGCUGUUGCUUAUCCGAGCUAGCAGAGUGUUGAGGUAGCUGCCCAGCGUCCGCAUGACCGCUUGCUCUGUCGCUAUCAGUCUGUUCCUUUGUAGUUUUUGUCAGACAUUUGUAUCAUUUCCAUUCAGACUUGUAUUNNNNNNNNNNNNNNNNNNNNNNNNNNNNNNNNNNNNNNNNNNNNNNNNNNNNNNNNNNNNNNNNNNNNNNNNNNNNNNNNNNNNNNNNNNNNNNNNNNNNNNNNNNNNNNNNNNNNNNNNNNNNNNNNNNNNNNNNNNNNNNNNNNNNNNNNNNNNNNNNNNNNNNNNNNNNNNNNNNNNNNNNNNNNNNNNNNNNNNNUGACUUGUAUUCAGUAUGGUUAGAGGUUCUGUACUCGUGACCCCAUGGUUUUGGGAGUAUUGUUGGCUCAUCUGUGUUUUCAUCCGUAUUGCUUAUUCCUGGCUGGGAGUUUAUAUUUCUAAAUUUGUUGUUUUACCUCAAACUUGGAUAUCUUGGGGCUGGAAUGCCCUUCUUUGGAAGUUGUUUGGUCGGGCUUGCCUAGCCUUGCGGUCGGGCUCCAUCACGAUUGGGUUUUGGGCCGUGACAAAUUUCAAUGUGAGCACUUCAGAGCUCGUAGCUAUUUUAAGAAGCAUGUGUGAUAAGGUACGAUGGCUAAAAAAGAUGAGAUUGAAUCCAAACAGGCGCAACCCUGAUAAUUGGUGCAAGUUUCAUAAUGAUCACGGGCAUAAAAUGACAAAUUGCAGGUUUUUACAACGUGAAGUUGAUAAUUUAUUAAAACAAGGGUACCUCACUGAGUUAUUCAGUGAGAAAGGUCAGCAAGCUUACAUGAAGAAUAUGCUGGAGCCCCUAUACCACCUUCCCCCAAAAGGACCAUCAAUGUUAUAAGCGGGGGUGAAGACAUCAACGGCGUAACAUACAUUGAAGCUAAUAAAAUUUCCAAAGUCACAAUUACUCGAGGGAAACAGGUGCGACAUGUCAUAGAGGAAGAUAGCAUUACAUUGAUGCAGAUGCGGAUUGCGUAUUAACUCUUCACAACGAUGCACUGGAAAUAUCUCUAAUUGCACAUGAUACUAAUGUGAAAAAAGUUUUGAUAUAUCCAGAUAGUUCCUUGAACAUUAUUUUUCUAAGAGUACUACAUGAGAUGCAAGCGGAAGAUAUGUUAAUACAAAAGGCACAUACUUUAUCUGGAUUUGACAGUUCAAGUGUUGUGACGAAAGGAGAGGUAAUGCUCACCAUAUUUGCAGAAGGAGUUGUCAAAGAUAAAAAGUUUCAAGUAGGAGAUAUGGAGAUGGCUUACAAUAUUAUCCUUGGGAGACCAUGGAUCCACGAAAUGGAUUUCGUUCCUUCAACCUUGCAUCAAGUUAUUAAAUUUCCAUCACCAUGGGGAAUAUGUCAAAUCUGUGGAGAUCAACAUACAUCUAGGAGCAUCAACUCUAUAGUAGAUUUAAGUAUGAAAAAUGAAGAAAAAUAGCAAUCAUAGAAGAUAGUUGAGGGCACGACAUCACAAAAUUCAACUGAACAAGAGCGGACAUAUGUGGACUCAAGGCUUGAUACCAUUCAAGAAACAAAAGAAAAUAAAAAUAUCAAAAUAACAAUUGAAGAACUUGAGGCUAUAGUUUUACUUGCACAACGGCCUGCUAAGAAAGUCUACGUAGGGGCUAAUCUAAGCCAAGACACAAGAGGUAAGUUGAUUGAAUUUUUGAAAACUAACAUGGUUGUCCUACUCUGACAUGACUGGAAUACCACCGGAGGUAAUGACUUACAAAUUAAAUGAAGACCCAUCGUACCCUCCUGUCAAGCAAAAGAAAAGAAAGCAAGGAACUUUCAAGAAUCAGGUUGUCACGACCCAAUUUAGGAUUGCGACUGGCGCUUAGGAGCAAAUGCUCCCAAAUAAGCGUCAUCGAUAUUUUAUAAAAAAUCGGGCAGAGUUUUCUCUAUUUUGGACCAUCCCAAUAAUUUUCCCGUCUCAAAUCAAAACCCAAACAACCUAAUAGCAACUCAACUGGCAAUUGACAACUUACCAAUUAGCCAAAAUAAGUCUCCACCAUUACUAAUUGAACAUACUAACAACCAAAAAUACUAAUCUGCCUCCAACAUUCAUAAUAAAGGACGAUACUCAACAUAAGACUAUAAUGAAAAAAAAAUACUCAUGACACUAAAAUAUUGACAAUGGAACAACUCUAAGAGUUUAAUGAAACGACUACGCAAUUGAUUAAAAUCUUCGCCCUUGCGAACAAGUGCGAGGCUCACCAAGAAUUUUCAACCUGUGCACUCUAAUUAACGAAAUCCCUUGCUUCAACUGAUGUCUGUGAAAAAAAAUUAGCGGGCAAUGAGUCGCUAGCUCAGUGAGUAAUAACACUUAACCACAACCAUUUUUAUUUGGGGACAAAUCAGAAAGCAUGCUUGCAUAAUAAUCACAAAAUAAAAUUUCCUUUUUUAACAUGGUAAUAAUAAUCUGUCUCGUCAUGUGUUUCCUGUGACAAAAUCAAUUUAAAAAUUCAGUAAUAAACUCGGUAAAUACUGUGUCAUAGCAAAUCUUUAUAUUUUGGGAGAUUUCACUCAUCAUGUGUUUCCUGUAACAAAAUCAAUUUAACAAUUCAGUAAUAAACUCGGUAAAUACUAUGUCAUAGCAAAUCUUUAUAUUUGGAAGAUUUCAGAAAAGGAUCAUGUAAUCUGUAUCACUGUGCAGACCCCUUCAUAAAAGAAGUCAAGUAUAUCUGUAGGUCCCUACUCGAGGGAAAAUUGUAACUGUAUGCUAGUUCUACCUUCCCACUAGCAAGGGCCAUAACUGUAAUCGGUAAUCGGUAAUCGGUAAUCUGUAAAUACAAGGUGCACCAGGUCUAACGAACCCGUCGUUAGCUACAAGAUCCUUCAAAGUCUCAUCCCAUUUAUACUCUUUCUUGUAAAUAGCAAAUACUCAUACAAAAGCAUUUUCAAAAUAAUAAAGGGCAUAUCAUCCUUAUCAAAUCUUGUAAUUUUAAUUCGGUAACAGUAAUCAUAUCUCAUGUAAUUGUAAAAUAUAUCUAAUAACAGUUAAAAUACUUUUAUUAAUCGGUAAAAAUCUCAUGUAAACUUUUCGAUAUCAUAUCAAGUAAAGGACCUGUCCCACAUACAAUUUCAAAGCAUCGAUAAUACAUUUUUUUUCAAAAAUCAUAUUUAAACCAUGCAGGUUAUGAAAACUUAAAUUGCGGUAAGAUUACUACUCAGAGUACUCGUGCCGAAAUACCAAAUAUAUCACCUCGAGCAAUUCGUACAAAUUCCUCCAAUCAAUCUAUAAUUACAUAAUAUCAAUCUCAUUUUCCUUGUUUAGGCUAAUUCAUAGUUAAUUUAGAAUACCCGACUUCGAGAUUUCAUAUUUGACUCUUAAUUCGUCGAAUUAUAUUUACCCACCUAUGAGUAAUUACUAAUUUAUCAACUCCAACAUAUUCAUAUAUUUUAUUAAUCCAAUUUCAUAAAGUUCUAUUGAUUUUUCUUGGGAAGAAAAUUCCCAAGUAUGAAUGAACUAGUGUAAUUUCUAUUUCUUCGUAGAAUCUCCCAAUCAUUAGAAUCGAAAUUAAAUUUACCAGAAAGAGAAGCUCAAGCUAUACCCCUAAGCCACAAUUCGUGCGUAAGAUUCCUCAACAAAUUGCCAAAUAUUAACAAACAUUUAUACAUAUCUUUUCUUGUUUCACUGACUUUUACCAAUCUACUUAUUUAACUCUAACAAUUAAAAUAUAUUCUCAAAUCUGUGGAAUAAGUACCUGAAGAUUUGACCAAAUAAUGGAUGCAAGUGGCUUCUUUUGCGGUACCAAGCUUUUUUGCCAACUCACCUUCUGUAUUUGUUGUUGAUUUUUCGCUUUAAUUCUGACCCAUCAAAAUCCUUUUUUUUGCUUCUGCUUGGUUUUACGCAGAAGAAUUUGAUUUGUUCGCCAGCGAAAGGGGCUUCGGCCCUUUCGUU
rnacentral:lncRNA from 1 species